rnacentral:lncRNA from 1 species
GCAGAUAGAAGAAAAAAAAUGAAAAACUUAGUAGCCACCCUUGAGAUCGUUGACAACAUCGUAAGGGAUGGGAGUGACAGUCUCCAAUGUCAUACCCUCGACCAUGAAACCAGGCUUGGGACCUUUAGACUGUCUCUUGGUGCUGAUUGUCUCCCCUCUGGCUUUGGCUGCAGCCUUGAGCACAUCGUUAUUCUUCUUCCUUAGUUUAAACUCCUCAGCACACCUUGACUGCUGCACGUGCUCCACACGCACAUGCAACCUCUUCCUAAUGAUUCUGUUACCAAUCUAAACCACGACACAACCACAAGAGAUAAGUUAUCACCCAUGAUCCAACACAAAACUAUCUAUUUUAAUAUUCUAAGUCGACAGCUAAAACAAAAAUAAUCACAAUCAGUUGUAACAUUCAUUCAACACUCAUGAAUAUCAAUGCAAACAGAAUACAGAUCAUACCUGCUUGUUGACUUCGACACCAACAGCUCGCUUAGUAACGUUCCAGACACGACCAGUACGACCAUGGUAGAACUUGUGAGGCAUACCCUUGUGGAUGGCUCCAUUUACCUUCACAUCCACGUAAUCACCGACUUUGAAGGUCCUGAGGUAGGUAGAGAGUGGGAUAACACCCUUCUUCCUGAACCCUCUCGCGAACAGAUCCCUG